ACCUUUGACAUGUACGGAAUCCUUUAGAGAUAGAGGAGUGCUACGAAAGAGAGCCGUAACACAGGUGCUGCAUGGCUGUCGUCAGCUCGUGUCGUGAGAUGUUGGGUUAAGUCCCGCAACGAGCGCAACCCUUGUCAUUAGUUGCUACAUUCAGUUGGGCACUCUAAUGAGACUGCCGGUGACAAACCGGAGGAAGGUGGGGAUGACGUCAAGUCCUCAUGGCCCUUAUAGGUGGGGCUACACACGUCAUACAAUGGAUGGUACAAAGGGUCGCCAACCCGCGAGGGGGAGCCAAUCCCAUAAAGCCAUUCGUAGUCCGGAUCGCAGUCUGCAACUCGACUGCGUGAAGUCGGAAUCGCUAGUAAUCGUGGAUCAGAAUGUCACGGUGAAUACGUUCCCGGGUCUU
rnacentral:rRNA from 1 species